CUUUAGCGCGGUGGUCCCACCUGACCCCAUGCCGAACUCAGAAGUGAAACGCCGUAGCGCCGAUGGUAGUGUGGGGUUUCCCCAUGUGAGAGUAGGGAACUGCCAGAC
rnacentral:rRNA from 1 species